UCUGCCUCCCUGACCUGUUCUUCCUCUCAGCCAUCCCUUCCUCCCACCCCAAGCCGCACCCCCAUCUACCUACUAACCUCAUCCCACCUCCUUGACCUGUCCGUCUUCCCUGGACUGACCUUUUCUCUCCUCUCCACCUUCGGUCCGCCUCCCCCUCUCUCCCUAUUUAUUCCAGUUCCCUCUCCCCGUCCCCCUCUCUCCCUAUUUAUUCCAGUUCCCUCUCCCCGUCCCCCUCUCUGAUGAAGGGUCUAGGCCCGAAACGUCAGCUUUUGUGCUCCUGAGAUGCUGCUCGGCCUGCUGUGCUCAUCCAGCCUCACAUUUUAUUAUUUUAGGAGAGAGAGCUGUUUUGGUUUGUGAUACAAGAGACGAGGCUGUCUAUGCCUUUCACCCAUCGGUAGCUCUCCUCCUGUCCCUGCCUCUAUGCACACACUCUGCCAGGCAUAGUCUUCCUCCCUCUGUGUGUGUGUGUCUCUCUCUCGCUUCAGCUCCUAAAACCUAAGAUGCAUCGGAUAUAAAAACACGCACAUAAACACACACACACACACACACACACAUCAACAAGCCAUGGAGAAAGAUCAGGAAUUACUGCAAGCUGUCAAAACCGAAGAUGUAGCUGCAAUGCAGAAGCUGUUGCAAAGGCCGAAACAAGGCAAAGCGAGACACAAUCAUCGCCUUGGAAGCUUCAUCACGAUACUACUUUGCAUUUCUGAAGAGGGAAGAAGAAUCAAUGUGCAAAUUCAAUUCCAUGGUUUUGGAAGUCCCAUUGAGAACACGAUUCAUUUGCGCCGGCAUAAUGCUCUGACCGAGAAAGAAUUGAAGUUUCCACUUGGAAGAAAGAUUCACAUCAAAUUGACUGGUCAAGGAAAUGGGACACUGACUAACCAUACGAUUAGACUGUUUUGAUGAGAAAUUUAAAGAUUACGUGUCCCAUCCGUUUGACUCACAGUUUGGUACCAUAGGUUGGUACGAUCUUCGUUGGAGAAGGAAAAGGGAUGUUCCAGAUACAGAAAACCGUCAAACCAUUUACAACAAAGUCCAUUUCUGAACCAUACGAUGAGACUGUUUUGAUGAGGAAUUGAAAGAUUAUGUGUCCCAUCCAUUUGACUCACAGUUUGGUACCAUAGGUUGGUACGAUCUUCGUUGGAGAAGGAAAAGGGAUGUUCCAGAUACAGAAAAUCGUCAAACCAUUUACGACAAAGUCCGUUUCUGGACACAAUCAUCGCCUUGGAAGCUUCAUCACGAUACUACUUUGCAUUUCUGAAGAGGGAAGAAGAAAUCAACAUGCAAAUUCAAUUCCAUGGUUUUGGAAGUCCCAUUUGAGAACACGAUUCAUUUGCGCCGGCACAAUGCUCUGACCGAGAAAGAAUUGAAGAACCAUACGAUGAGACUGUUUUGAUGAGGAUUAUGUGUCCCAUCCGUUUGACUCACAGUUUGGUACCAUAGGUUGGUACGAUCUUCGUUGGAGAAGGAAAAGGGAUGUUCCAGAUACAGAAAAUCGUCAAACCAUUUACUACAAAGUCCGUUUCUGGGUGGAGUUAGUGGAACCGAAAAAGAUGUCUCCCUCACAGCGUUUGUGACAAAAGAGUUGCAUUGUUCCUUGGCGGCCUUUCAACAGAAGAAUAUUCAGAGAUUUCACGAGUGGUCCUUAUGGGAACAGGAAAAAUGACAAGCUGGAAAAUUUUGCAAGUAAUCUUUGGGCCAGCCUGGAAUCUUCCCAUCCUCUGGCCAUGACCUUGUGACCCUGCUUGGAGGUUGUAGUUACAGUUUCAGAAGUGAUCAAUUCCAGUGAGGAUGUCUGUACUAAGGUGAAAGCUCACGCACAGUUCUUCACGACGGGAAAAAUGGCUCCAUUCAGACUCUGGAGAUUCAGAUUCUGAUGUUGGUUCCUGGAAAGCCUCCAUUGUUGGAGGACGAGAAUCCGUAUCCACUUGAAGCAGCAUAGGCUUCUGCGAUGACUGUGGAAACCACUGCUUAUGCCUUGCUUCAAGCAUUGUCAAGGAAUGAUAUUGACUAUGCAACACCGAUUGCGAGGUGGCCAACGAUGCAACAGAACUAUGGUGGUGGAUUUCACUCGACGCAGGACACAAUCAUUGCCUUGGAAGCUUCAUCAUGAUUGACAUUGCAUUUCUGAAGAGGGAAGAAGAAAUCAACAUGCAAAUUCAAUUCCAUGGUUUUGGAAGUCCCAUUGAGAACACGAUUCAUGUGCGCUGGCAUAAUGCUCUGACCGAGAAAGAAUCGAAGCUUCCGCUUGGAAGAAAGAUUCACAUCAAGUUGACUGGUCAAGUAAAUGGGACACUGACUAACCAUACAAUGAGUCUGUUUUGAUGAGGAACUUAAAGAUUACGAGUCCCGUCCGUUUGACUCAGAGUUUGGUACCAUAGGUUGGUACGAUCUUCGUUGGAGAAGGAAAAGGGAUGUUCCAGAUACAGAAAAUAGUCAAACCAUUUACUACAAAGUCCGUUUCUGGGUGGAGUUAGUGGAACCGAAAAAGAUGUCUCCCUCACAGCGUUUGUGACAAAAGAAUUGCAUUGUUCCUUGGCGGCCUUUCAACAGAAGAAUAUUCAGAGAUUUCACGAGUGUAGCACGCUGAGUAUUGUUAUCCCGAUAGUUCUUUCGUAUCAGUCCGUGUGUAUUCCUGGGCGAAUGUGCUCGUGUGGUCUCAGGAGUUGGGGAGGUCACGGCUCUGGGACAGCCGUUUCAUCGCUCUGUGCUGCAGGAAAAAAGCAAUGAAAGUGCCGUUAAUGUUUUGCACGGCGAGCUGCUGCACACUAACCGGUCUCACACCAUUACCGUCACCUUGCCCUUGUGAAGGCAGAUAUGGAUAAGGUUCUCAAAGCUGAUAGAAGAUUGAAACCACUCUAAUCCUGUGACGAUGAACCUACCCCGGAAGAGAGAGCCCAGAGAAUUGCCAAAGCUGUCCGCAAACAGUCAACAGAAGUGAAGGAAAAUUGGGAGCAAUUGAAAACCCGUGCGAGCAACUGGCAGAAACAGGUGGAAAAGGCGUUGGAGAAACUUCAAGAACUGCAGAAAGCGCUGGAUGAUCUUGAGGCUCAUGUGAUAACAGCUGACGGGGUCCACACUGAUUGGCAACCUGUGGGUGACCUGCUUAUUGACUCAUUGCAGGAUCACAUUGAUAAAACCACAGGUAAGGACUAUCUGCAAAAUCUGAGAUUGGGUUUUGAAAGACAGCAGCCUUUGUUUUGGAGAGAUAAUGGGAACUGCAGAUGCUGGAGAACGCGAGAUAACACCGUGUGGAACUGGAUGAAGACAGCAGGCCAAGCAGCAUCUCAGGAGCACAAAAGCUGACGUUU